UUUCUCACCAAUUGCACACGUCUUUCGCAAUCGCUUAUAUGAUCAAUCCCGCUUAUCCUACUACAGCUGCGGCGGCCCAACUAGCCAUUCCAGAGGUGACGGGAGAACAAUGGCUUGCCUCGGAUAAUCUGCCGCCAUUGAAAACCCUCGGCCCACUCAGCUGUCAGAGAUACGUGCGGGUCCGGGUAUUGAAAUGGGUGGAUAAAACCCGACAAAUUCCGCCGCUUAACAAUUGGACUUAGCCCACUAUGGAACCGAACGGGCCGGCAGAAGUGCGAUGGGUCACAGAAGUGCUUGGGCUUUUCCUGGACUUGUUUUUUAAAGGACUUAGCCCACUAUGGGACCUAACGGGCCGGCAGCAGUGUGAUGGGUCACAGAAGUGCUUGGGCUUUUCCUGGACCUUUUUUUUAAAGCACAUAUCAAAGGAAAAUUUUAAUCACAGCCGGACUUAAGUUGACUUCGCGUUGCGUUGACUCUUUGUUUUUUAGUGCUCCCUUCAUAACACCCCAUGGUUCAUACCCAUAUGCUUCGAAAACAAAGUUCUUCUACGAGGUCUCUACCUGUGCUUUGAUGCUGACAUGAGGCGCAGAGGGUCGCCGUUGCAAAUGUGAACAGGUGCAAGUGGCGCGCCGAGGACACCAAGCAACAGCCUCAGAUUCCACCGCUUGAAGGCUGAGCCAACAUCUAAUGGUGUCAUCGCAAACCUCAGACUUCCGGAUCUCUCAAUCAUGGCAAGCUUUUACUUCUAGAUCUUGCAUCACUGAGUGCUACUCAUCCCCCAGCAAGAUUGCAACAAUAAGAUUUCUCAAAGCUUCUUCUAGAUCUUGCAUAUCUCUCAAAGCUUGCUCGUUCUAGAUCUUGCAUCACUGCUGCACACAUCAUUUCUCUCCUUGAGGUUUUCUGAUGAGGCUCUUUAUUGAGUGUGGUGAAUGUGACUGCCGAUUACUUCAUUGGAAUCAAAUUGAUCAAGAUUAAUGGAAAAAGUUGUGAGAUUACCCUCUACCCCUGUUUUUACUCUGUUUUUAUAGCUUGGGGUGUACUAGGAAAAUAUUGCAGAUUUAGUGUACUUUUUAUAUAUUUAUAAAAAAUUUAAAUUCUAUGGGGUCCCCCUAAUAAGGGGUGUGUUUAGUAAACUUAAGGGUUUGACUAAAUUUUUCCCAAACAAAAGCAGAGAAGUAAAGGGCCAAGCCCAACAAUAUGCAAUCCUAUAACAUCCUAUAUAAGUAGUUUUGUAGUUGGGUGUUUAUUUUAUUUUUCAUGGGGUAGUUGGAUUGGGUUAGAAAACAGGGAAACUGAGUGAUGUUGCAGGCCAUAAGAUUCCCUUCUCCACUUCAAAAUGUUAAGAAAACUAUGAAGACAAGUAAUAAACAAUGGUGAUAAUUGCAAAUGAUGUCUGUUUGAUUAUAAAAUUAAACAGGACUUACUAAAACUUUUUUUUUUCCCUUUUCUUUUAUUUGUAGAUAACACAGAGUUUAAACAUAUAGUC